rnacentral:rRNA from 1 species
UAACUGUCUCUUAUUUUUUAUUAUUUAAGUUACUUAAGAAGUGAAAAUACUUCUAUUAAAAACUAAAGACGAGAAGACCCUUAGAAUUAUUAAUAAUAAAAAUACAAAUGUUUUUUAUCUUUUUGUUGGGGCAACAAAGGUUUAAUUUUAAAAACCUUUUUAUUUACUAAAAACAUGACGAACUAUGUUAAGAAAGAUAUAAUUACCUAAGGGAUAACAGCAUAAUUUAAAAUUUAAGUUUGUGACCUCGAUGUUGG